AGAGUUUGAUCCUGGCUCAGAACGAACGCUGGCGGCAGGCUUAACACAUGCAAGUCGAACGCACCGCAAGGUGAGUGGCAGACGGGUGAGUAACGCGUGGGAACGUGCCCUUCAGUUCGGGAUAACCCAGGGAAACUUGGGCUAAUACCGGAUACGUGCGAGAGCAGAAAGAUUCAUCGCUGAAGGAUCGGCCCGCGUCUGAUUAGCUAGUUGGUGAGGUAAAGGCUCACCAAGGCGGCGAUCAGUAGCUGGUCUGAGAGGAUGAUCAGCCACACUGGGACUGAGACACGGCCCAGACUCCUACGGGAGGCAGCAGUGGGGAAUUUUCCGCAAUGGGCGAAAGCCUGACGGAGCAAGACCGCGUGAGGGAGGAAGGCUCUUGGGUUGUAAACCUCUUUUGUCAGGGAAGAACACAAUGACGGUACCUGAAGAAUCAGCAUCGGCUAACUCCGUGCCAGCAGCCGCGGUAAUACGGAGGAUGCAAGCGUUAUCCGGAAUUAUUGGGCGUAAAGCGUCCGCAGGUGGCACUUCAAGUCUGCUGUCAAAGACCGGGGCUUAACCCUGGAAAGGCAGUGGAAACUGAAGCGCUAGAGUGUGGCAGGGGUAGAGGGAAUUCCCGGUGUAGCGGUGAAAUGCGUAGAGAUCGGGAAGAACAUCGGUGCGAAAGCGCUCUACUGGGCCACAACUGACACUCAGGGACGAAAGCUAGGGGAGCGAAUGGGAUUAGAUACCCUAGUAGUCC
rnacentral:rRNA from 1 species